AUUGAACGCUGGCGGCAGGCCUAACACAUGCCAGUCGAGCGGAUGAAGGGAGCUUGCUCCUGGAUUCAGCGGCGGACGGGUGAGUAAUGCCUAGGAAUCUGCCUGGUAGUGGGGGAUAACGUCCGGAAACGGGCGCUAAUACCGCAUACGUCCUGAGGGAGAAAGUGGGGGAUCUUCGGACCUCACGCUAUCAGAUGAGCCUAGGUUGGAUUAGCUAGUUGGUGGGGUAAAGGCCUACCAAGGCGACGAUCCGUAACUGGUCUGAGGGGAUGAUCAGUCACACUGGAACUGAGACACGGUCCAGACUCCUACGGGAGGCAGCAGGGGGGAAUAUUGGACAAUGGGCGAAAGCCUGAUCCAGCCAUGCCGCGUGUGUGAAGAAGGUCUUCGGAUUGUAAAGCACUUUAAGUUGGGAGGAAGGGCAGUAAGUUAAUACCUUGCUGUUUUGACGUUACCAACAGAAUAAGCACCGGCUAACUUCGUG
rnacentral:rRNA from 1 species